rnacentral:rRNA from 1 species
AUUGAACGCUGGCGGCGUGCCUAAUACAUGCAAGUCGAGCGGACCAAAGAGAGCUUGCUCUCUGAGGUUAGCGGCGGACGGGUGAGUAACACGUGGGUAACCUGCCUGUAAGACGGGGAUAACUUCGGGAAACCGAAGCUAAUACCGGAUGAUAAAGAGAAGCGCCUGUUUCUUUUUUGAAAGUCGGCCUUGUGCUGACGCUUACAGAUGGGCCCGCGGCGCAUUAGCUAGUUGGUGAGGUAACGGCUCACCAAGGCGACGAUGCGUAGCCGACCUGAGAGGGUGAUCGGCCACACUGGGACUGAGACACGGCCCAGACUCCUACGGGAGGCAGCAGUAGGGAAUCUUCGGCAAUGGACGAAAGUCUGACCGAGCAACGCCGCGUGAGCGAUGAAGGCCUUCGGGUCGUAAAGCUCUGUUGUCAGAGAAGAACAAGUACCGGAGUAACUGCCGGUACCUUGACGGUACCUGACCAGAAAGCCACGGCUAACUACGUGCCAACAGCCGCCGUAAAAC